ACGGGUGAGUAAUACAUCGGAACGUAUCCUGGAGUGGGGGAUAGCCCGGCGAAAGCCGGAUUAAUACCGCAUACGCUCUGAGGAGGAAAGCGGGGGACCUUCGGGCCUCGCGCUCAAGGGGCGGCCGAUGGCGGAUUAGGUAGUUGGUGGGGUAAAGGCCUACCAAGCCGACGAUCCGUAGCUGGUCUGAGAGGACGACCAGCCACACUGGGACUGAGACACGGCCCAGACUCCUACGGGAGGCAGCAGUGGGGAAUUUUGGACAAUGGGGGCAACCCUGAUCCAGCAAUGCCGCGUGUGUGAAGAAGGCCUUCGGGUUGUAAAGCACUUUUGUCCGGAAAGAAAUCAUCGGGGCCAAUACCCCUGGUGGAUGACGGUACCGGAAGAAUAAGCACCGGCUAACUACGUGCCAGCAGCCGCGGUAAUACGUAGGGUGCGAGCGUUAAUCGGAAUUACUGGGCGUAAAGCGUGCGCAGGCGGUGCUGUAAGACCGAUGUGAAAUCCCCGGGCUUAACCUGGGAACUGCAUUGGUGACUGCAGCGCUGGAGUAUGGCAGAGGGGGGUGGAAUUCUACGU
rnacentral:rRNA from 1 species